GGACGGUUAGCUCAGUUGGUAGAGCGCCUGCCUUACAAGCAGGAUGUCACUGGUUCGAGCCCAGUACCGUCCAUCA
rnacentral:tRNA from 1 species